AUUGAACGCUGGCGGCAUGCUUUACACAUGCAAGUCGAACGGUAACAGGCCGCAAGGUGCUGACGAUUGGCGAACGGGUGAGUAAUGCAUCGGAACGUGCCCAGUCGUGGGGGAUAACUACUCUAAAGAGUAGCUAAUACCGCAUACGAUCUAUGGAUGAAAGCGGGGGACCGUAAGGCCUCGCGCGAUUGGAGCGGCCGAUGUCAGAUUAGGUAGUUGGUGGGGUAAAGGCUCACCAAGCCAACGAUCUGUAGCUGGUCUGAGAGGACGACCAGCCACACUGGGACUGAGACACGGCCCAGACUCCUACGGGAGGCAGCAGUGGGGAAUUUUGGACAAUGGGGGCAAGCCUGAUCCAGCAAUGCCGCGUGCAGGAAGAAGGCCUUCGGGUUGUAAACUGCUUUUGUACGGAACGAAACGGCUCUGGUUAAUACCCGGGGCUAAUGACGGUACCGGAAGAAUAAGCACCGGCUAACUACGUG
rnacentral:rRNA from 1 species